rnacentral:rRNA from 1 species
GACGAACGCUGGCGGCGUGCUUAACACAUGCAAGUCGAACGCUGAAGCUUGGUGCUUGCACUGGGUGGAUGAGUGGCGAACGGGUGAGUAAUACGUGAGUAACCUGCCCUUGACUCUGGGAUAAGCCUGGGAAACUGGGUCUAAUACUGGAUACGACAUGUCACCGCAUGGUGGUGUGUGGAAAGGGUUUUACUGGUUUUGGAUGGGCUCACGGCCUAUCAGCUUGUUGGUGGGGUAAUGGCUCACCAAGGCGACGACGGGUAGCCGGCCUGAGAGGGUGACCGGCCACACUGGGACUGGGACACGGCCCAGACUCCUACGGGAGGCAGCAGUGGGGAAUAUUGCACAAUGGGCGGAAGCCUGAUGCAGCGACGCCGCGUGAGGGAUGACGGCCUUCGGGUUGUAAACCUCUUUCAGCACGGAAGAAGCGAAAGUGACGGUACGUGCAGAAGAAGCGCCGGCUAACUACGU